UUUUGCGCAAUGGACGGAAGUCUGACGCAGCAACGCCGCGUGAAGGAUGACGGCCUUCGGGUUGUAAACUUCUGUUGGAUGGGAAAAAAAGCCUAGGAAUAGGAAUUGAUGGUACCAUUCGAGUAAGCACCGGCUAACUACGUGCCAGCAGCCGCGGUAAUACGUAGGGUGCGAGCGUUGUUCGGAAUCACUGGGCGUAAAGGGAGCGUAGGCGGGAUCGUAAGUUAGGAGUUUAAUACAUGGGCUCAACCCGUGAUAUGCUUUUAAUACUGCGGUUCUUGAGUAUGGGAGAGGGUGAUGGAAUUCCAGGUGUAGCGGUGGAAUGCGUAGAUAUCUGGAAGAACACCAGUAGCGAAGGCGGUCACCUGGCCCAAUACUGACGCUGAGGCUCGAAAGCUGGGGGAGCAAACAGG
rnacentral:rRNA from 1 species